CAGUAGCCGCGGUAAUACGUAGGGUGCAAGCGUUAAUCGGAAUUACUGGGCGUAAAGCGUGCGCAGGCGGUUUGUUAAGACAGAUGUGAAAUCCCCGGGCUCAACCUGGGAACUGCAUUUGUGACUGGCAAGCUAGAGUGUGGCAGAGGGGGGUGGAAUUCCGCGUGUAGCAGUGAGAUGCGUAGAUAUGCGGAGGAACACCGAUGGCGAAGGCAGCCCCCUGGGCCAACACUGACGCUCACGCACGAAAGCGUGGGGAGCAAACAGGAUAAGAGACCCGCGUAGUCCCUGUCUCUUAUAA
rnacentral:rRNA from 1 species